rnacentral:rRNA from 1 species
AUUGAACGCUGGCGGAAUGCUUUACACAUGCAAGUCGAACGGCAGCACGGGGCAACCUGGUGGCGAGUGGCGAACGGGUGAGUAAUACAUCGGAACGUGCCCAAUCGUGGGGGAUAACGUAGCGAAAGUUACGCUAAUACCGCAUACGAUCUACGGAUGAAAGCGGGGGAUCGCAAGACCUCGCGCGAAUGGAGCGGCCGAUGUCAGAUUAGGUAGUUGGUGGGGUAAAGGCUCACCAAGCCAACGAUCUGUAGCUGGUCUGAGAGGACGACCAGCCACACUGGAACUGAGACACGGUCCAGACUCCUACGGGAGGCAGCAGUGGGGAAUUUUGGACAAUGGGCGCAAGCCUGAUCCAGCCAUUCCGCGUGCAGGAUGAAGGCCUUCGGGUUGUAAACUGCUUUGUUACGGAACGAAACGGCGAGCUCUAAUACAGUUUGCUAAUGACGGUACCGUAAGAAUAAGC